CUCAGUUCUGGUAUUCCAGGUUUCCCUCAAUUAUUCUGGGAAAACCUCCUUGACCCACAGGCAGAGCCUAGGGCAGCCAGGUGCUUUCUACUCUCUCUCUCUCUGCAGCUUGGAAAGUUAGUGUCUGUUGAAGAUUUCCGUUGGCUAACCUCAGUCUUAUCUUCCUCAUUUCUGUUUCCUGUUGAAGACACCAAGGGCCCUUCAAAACACAGAAGCUUCUUGCUCACGGCAGAAAGCCCAAUUCCAUCUGGCCCCUGCAGGUUGGCUCAGCACUGGGGAAUCAGAGUCCCCUCCAUGACCAAGGCACCACUCCACUGACAGGGUCACAUCUCCCAGGAAGAUCUCACUUCCCCACAGAAGCUCUUGGCCUGGCCUCCUGCAGUGCCACGCUCCGUGUAUUUGACAAGCUGAGUUGGACACUCCAUGUGGUAGAGUGUCAGUUUGUCAAAUACCCCAAGUGCGGCACAUGCUUACCAGCUCUAGGCCAGGGCAGAUGGGAUAUGACGAAUGGACUGCCAGCUGGAUACAAGGAUGCUCACCAAGCACCAAGUUCUCACAAGUUAUUUUAUGUGACUUUGCAGGAACUGAGGCAUUAUAUCUGAGGACACCAGGGGAAAAGUGUGGCAUCUCAGGGAAAUACAGCCCUGGGCUGUGUCUACACACACCAUGAGAGUGCUGAUGGGGGCGCAAUAGUCUUGAAAAUGUAUAAAGUGUCCAGGAAUGGAAGUGCUCUUUGAUUCAUUAUUAUUUUCUUCCUUCAUAUUCCCCUCCCAGAGUCUCCUAUCUAGGACAUCAGCAUUCUCACACAAGCCUAAUGGCUUAUCUGAGUAAGCAGGGCUUAGAAAUUCACUUUCUUGAUACUCAGUCUUGCCUUCUAAACACUCCUUGAUCUUGCCUACCUCUCCCCUUUUCCACAUGUCUUUUCCUGUAGGAACACUUUCUCCAUUUAUUCCUGCCUAUCCAAUUCUUCCCUAUAUUUCCUGGACCAGCUAAAGUCCAGUGUUUCCAGAGACUUUUGAAAGUCAACUUACACUUUUUCCUUCUUCAUUCACAAAGCUCUUCUUCCCUGGGCCCUGGUAUGUAUGCCUUUCUCUCCUACUGUCUAAUAGCACCUCGUAAAUUGUCAAUGAACUUUUCUAAGGGGUAUUCUUGAAUUCCCAACUAGAUUGUGAGCUUCUGGAAGACAAGGCUAUGUCUUUGAUUGUUGUCUCCCCUACCACAGCCCAGUACUUUAGUUACAGAAAAUAAUAAAUAUUUACUGAUUGAUUGACUUUCCUCUUGUCCACUAGCUUUAGGUUUGGGGGCCAAAUUCUACCCUGGAUUUUGAAAAAUUCAAACUGUGAACACCACAAUGUUAUAGAGCAUAUGAGGUAGUAGCCAGCAUGAAGGAUGUUUUCUUCCUGAGAAACAGUGUCAAGGGCUGGAGGAAGAGGGCAAAAUAGCAGACUCAGAGGGCAAAUAAAUUUUGGUAUUACUUGGUCACACAAGGUUAUACAGGUGUUUUCUUGUAGGAUUUUUCAGAGCCUUUAAUAGUCUAAUGUUGCAUUGAGAAUCUCAAAGAGGAAACCAUAGAAUGAGGCAUUUGCCAUACCUAUCUGAUCAUGAAUUUUCUUUUCCCCCACAGCCUUCUCCUGUGUCAAUGUCCAAUGAAGCACGAUUUGGGAAACUGUCCUAGAGAAACUUUAUACCUUCCCGCUCUUCUGGAGAUCUUUUCCUCUUUUCAUUCAUCUACUUUCCCCAACCAGCCAUCUGCCUAAGAAAGGUCACAUGUUAUCAUCUCAUUUUUGUUUAGCCUCUGCAGCUGUGGACUAUCUUUAUUACAUAGGAAUUCUUUACUAGCUUGUCCUGUAUUUAAAAAUAUUCUAAGUUUUGAGGCAAAGAAGAUCCAGAUGCUG
rnacentral:lncRNA from 1 species